rnacentral:lncRNA from 1 species
CUACUACUACGACUACUAUCACUACCACUACUACUACCACUACCACGACGAUUACCACUACGACUACCACGACAACUACCACUACGACGACUACCACUACGACGACCACGACGACUACCACUACGACGACAACGACUGCUACCACUACGACGACUACGACUACGACCACUACGACUACGACGACGACUACUACUACGACGACGACUACUACUACGACUCCUACUCCUCCUACUACUGCUACCGCUACCGCUGCCGCGGCUACCGCUACCGCUACGGCUACUGCUACGGCUACGGCUACGACUACUACGGCUACGACUACUACGGCUACGACUACUACGGCUACGACUACUACGGCUACGACGACUACGACUACGACUACGACUACGACUACUACUACGACGACGACUACUACUACUACGACUACUACUACGACUACUACUACGACGACUACUACUACGACUACUAUUACGACUACUACUACGACUACUACUACGACUACGACUACGACUACUACUAUGACUACGACGACGACUAUGAAUACAACGACUACUACGAAUACCACGACUACUACUACGACUACGACGACGCCUACG